rnacentral:misc_RNA from 1 species
AAGUCGUAACAAGGUUUCCGUAGGUGAACCUGCGGAAGGAUCAUUAGCGAAGUUCGGAAUGCAUGUUCGAUGUUGAUGCUGCCCAGCAAUGGGAUGUACUCGCUCGGAUGUGUGUCCCUUCUCUAUCCACCCCAUUGUGAACCAAGUGUGUGAGCCGAAGAGAAAUCGGACGCUCGCAUGCAAACCUUUAACAUACCCCAAUGAAGUAUCAGAAUGUACCUUGCGUUAACUCGCACAAAUAUAACUUUCAACAACGGAUCUCUUGGCUCUC